rnacentral:misc_RNA from 1 species
GGUGAAGAACGUAGUGAAACGCGAUAGGUAAUGUGAAUUGCAGAAUUCCGUGAAUCAUCGAAUCUUUGAACGCACAUUGCGCCUUCUGGUAUUCCGGUAGGCAUGUCUGUCUGAGCGUCAGCAAACACCCCUGAGCUGAAUCUUUUGUUAGGUUCACGCUGGUCUUGGGCGCGGAUGUUGGAGGGUAACCUCCCACGCCAGCCCUAAACUUGCUGCACGACCGCUGGCUUCGGCUGGGUCAAUGGAGGUGUCACAAUCUUCCAGAAGGCCUUCUAGAGCUCGGUGGCGUUAAACCUGCUGUUACCCUUGUGGUGACCGAAGUUUUGACCUCAGAUCAGAUAAGGAUACCCGCUGAACUUAAGCAUAUCAAUAAGCGGAGGA